CAGAGCUAUUGGCAGAACAUGGCAAGACAGAAUGUCAGAUUUCAUAGUCGGCAGACAUCUACAACAAUUGAUGCCUUGUAGUCAGAGGCUGUUAAAUUACCUGUGAAGGGUUACUGGCAGCCUUGAAUGUUUUUCUCAUUGUUUAUUUAGUUCCAAAAGCUCUUGGUCUUUGUGCUGAUUGCCCUAACUGACAGCACAGGAAGUCUGGACUUUGUAAACAGGGUGCUGCUGUAGUGAAUUACAGAGCAAGAGAAUGAGAGCGUGAAACUGGAAGUAAAAAGGGAGGAGAAGGAAGAAAAAUAACCUGAAAAUGUCAAACUUUAAUUCCCAAGAUGCUGCAUGAUUCCAGGUCUCUGCUGCCACAUCAGUUCUGGGCCAGAGACAAGGAUACAUUAUGACAGGGAAACCCAAGUCCUAAUAAGUGUAAUUUAUGCUGCUUCUUGUCCAUCUUGCACAUCAAAUGAACAGCCUCUGUGGAAAUGGGCAUAUGUCCUUAAAUACUCUGAAUCAGCAUAAAGACAUCUUCAGUACACUGGCAGUCUACGUAGUAUAUCAUUUCAUUAAUGGCAGUUUUCAAAAUUAAAGCUAUGCCACCACAAAGCCAAUAUCUGAUUUCAAACACUUUGAAGACAGGAGGAAACUCAAGAAUACAGAAUCCAUCUUUCUCAGUGAAUUGCCCAUCACCAAGCUGGUUUUACAUUUUGCAAGGCUGUUGACUUCAUCCAGAUAACUGUUGAUCUUUGUCUUGUUGAUGACUUGUUUACUGGCAAAUACUGUCUUCAUGUUAUUUUGAAGUUACAGAUAGACAGAAAAGUGAAAAAUUGACUUCAACAAUCAUACUUUUUUUAAAAAUUGCUAUCUGCCA
rnacentral:lncRNA from 1 species